GUAAAGAAGAGAGAGAAAGAAGAAGAAAGGAAAAGAGGAAGAAGAAGAAGAAAGAAGAAGGGAAAUCGACCGUAGAGCUUCACCGAAGUUGGGUCUUAGUAUUUUGAGCCUGAAUUUAUGAUCAACUCGUCAAGGUCUUUGAUUUGAGGAUUUGAAAGGAGUGUUGGUGAAGAUCUAGAGUAUUUGGAGGUUCUUGAGCAAAAGAAAUGAAAUUUAGGGUUUCAUUGGUGAUCUUGAAAAAGAGGUUACACUCAAUAUACGCGUACCCACACAUCAGAUCUUUUUCGUACAGGGUACAAGUACCGUGUAUACAUACAGGCUCGGCUUAGUGCAAGCGGGGUGUGAAAGUUAUUCUCUUGGUGGAAGAGAGGCAACAAUGGUUUCGCUAGGGAAGGUUUGGUUGGCUGCAAUUAUUUUGAUUCCUCACCAGCUAUGGAUGGAAAGAAAUAAUCGCAGAUUCGAUGAUAAAUCUCACCCUAUUGAUUUGAUGGUGAAAGCAAUAAUGUUAGAUCUGUAAGAUAAUUCAAAAAUGGAAAAAAUCCUUAUCUCAUCAUUUACAGACUUAUUGAUUUCGAAGAAAUUCAUGUUAUCUAUUUCAAGAGCGACUCCUGAGAAGAUAGUUGAAGUUGUAUGGGCGCCUUCUCCUGAUAAUUGCAUUAAACUAGACAUUAACGGGUGCUCUCUUGGUAAGCUAGGUUGCUCCAGGGCAGGUGGGUCAUCAAAGACAAUAGUGGGUCUCCAAUGCGAUGUUUUGCAGCUUAUGAAGGAGUGGAAACUAAUUUCUUGGCUGAGUUUAGUGCUUUCUUUAUUGGGUUGCACCCUGUUUCCUUAGUGAAGGUUGAACAUUUGUAGAUUGAUUAUGACGCACAAGCAGUGGUGAACUACAUCAAAAAUAAAAGAAUCUCUUGGCUCUUCCAGCAAAAAUGGUGGUACUAUAAAGGAUAUUUAGACAACAUUUUAUGGAUGAUCAGCCACUGCUAUAGGGAGGGAAAUGGGGUGGUUGAUAGAUUGGCUAAACACGCAAUAUCAUCUCGGUUGUCUACAAGCUGGAAGCGAAUGCCUUCUUUUGUUACUCAUGACAUCAGUUGGGACCCUCAAUAGAGGCCAAGAUUUAGAUUUUGUUAUUGUUUUUUCUUCUGAUUGGAUUUCCCCUCUGCUAAUGGCAAUGUCGACAGUGAAGUGGUAACUCAAUGGUUUGAUUCUCUCAUUCUUUAAGCUUGUAAAUCUUAUUUCAUCAAUAUAUUCAUUUGCUGACUUAGCAAAAAAAAGUA